UAAAGGAUAAGACGUCCGGUGCAUU
rnacentral:sRNA from 1 species